rnacentral:rRNA from 1 species
GACGAACGCUGGCGGCGUGCUUAACACAUGCAAGUCGAACGGAAAGGCCCUGCUUUUGUGGGGUGCUCGAGUGGCGAACGGGUGAGUAACACGUGAGUAACCUGCCCUUGACUUUGGGAUAACUUCAGGAAACUGGGGCUAAUACCGGAUAGGAGCUCCUGCUGCAUGGUGGGGGUUGGAAAGUUUCGGCGGUUGGGGAUGGACUCGCGGCUUAUCAGCUUGUUGGUGGGGUAGUGGCUUACCAAGGCUUUGACGGGUAGCCGGCCUGAGAGGGUGACCGGCCACAUUGGGACUGAGAUACGGCCCAGACGCCUACGGGAGGCAGCAGUGAGGAAUAGUGCACUAUGGGCGGAAGCCUGAUGCAGCAACGCCGCGUGCGGGAUGACGGCCUUCGGUUUGUAAACCGCUUUCGCCUGUGACGAAGCGUGAGUGACGGUAAUGGGUAAAGAAGCACCGGCUAACUACGUG